rnacentral:lncRNA from 1 species
AGUUCGGCUAGAGUCGCUAGGAUCGUCGGAUCGGCGGGUUGAGGGUUCUGAGGGUUCGGAGGGUUCGGGAUUCCUCCUCCAGCUGGUGGGGUCUGACGACCGUCUUCGGUCAUCGUGCUUUUCAGUAAUCGAGUUCUGCGUCUUAGGGUAAGAGAAUUCUAAAGUAUCCCCACAGACGGCGCCAAACUGUGGAAGUCGAAACUAACACAAUCAAGAUUUGUCUAGGGUUUUAUUUUAGGGAUACGAUAAUCGCGAAUUCUCAAAGAACAACAGAAACGAUUGAUACCAAAGAUGGUGUUCUUGAUAUUAUUAAUGAAAAAAGAUGACUUUGAUCGUACAAGAGUUUGAUCGUAAAAGAAAAAGUGUUUGUGCUGUGAGAGCUUUGCGUAGUGUAAUUUCUAGAGCGAUAUUGCCUCUCUUUUGCUUGAGCCUUGAAUCUCUUUAUAUAGGGGCGAUAAACCGCCUCUCCAGCGAUAUUCUCGGAAGAUUUCCAUUUAUCUUGAAGUCGGCCAGAAUAUCGCGGAUUAGGACAAUUUCCUUAUUCUUCGGAGUUUUCCGGAAGAUUUCCUGAUUUGAGUUGAUCCUUCGCGAUUCUUCCUUAUCAUUUUCGAGUUUAUCGGAAAUGAUCCUUCUUUUUCGGAAAUGAUAACUUGCUUGGAAAUGAUACCUUUAGAGAAGAAUAUUCGCUAAGUCUUUGCUUCGGGCGAUGAUGAAGGCUUCGCCUCAGAGAACUUGUGCAACCGGCUCGGAAACAAGAGAGACGUGGCCUAGGCUCCCGAGGGAAAGCGGCUCGGGUUCACGGAAAGAGCCAGCUCGGGGGUCUCGACACAAACCGGCUCGGUUUCCCGAAGUGAAACGGCUCGGGCACUUGAAGGGAGCCGGCUCGGGUUCACGAGCCUGCUGACAGAGCCCGAGCAGACUAUGGGUUUUCCCCGAAGUGAUUGAGGCGAUGACCCGAGGUGAGUGGCAAUCUGACCCGAGGUGAAUGACAGUCCGACCCGAGGUGAAUGGCAGUUCGACCCGAGGUGAAUGGCAGUUUGACCCGAGGUGUCUUCAGAAAUUCCCUGAGGCGUUCGAAGUUCGGCUCGGUGCUAUGGGAUGAAAUCCGACCCCAACAUGGAUGAUGUAUGGUACAACUAUAGCUAGAAAGGUAUGUUUUCGAAGUUUA